CGAAAGAGAGUUAUAAAAAUUGGUAAAACAAAUUUUGGUCCAGUUUUUAUAGUUUCGAUUUGCUAAAAUUUAAUGACAUAGGUAAACACACACAUAUUAGGAUAAUUUUUACAAAAAAUAAUUUAUCAAUUCCUGAAGUCAAAAAACAUGGAAAUAAAUAAAAAAAUAACCUUAGAAAAAUUUCAAUACUAUAAAGAAAAAAAACAAACAUAAAAAAAUGUUAAUAUUUAGAAAAUUUUACUAAUUUUUGUUUUUAACUGUCCAUCCGAUUCUCCCUUUAAAAUAAAAAUUGUUAACAGCAUUGUUAUAACGAAUGCAAUUUAUUUUUUGUCAUUUUUCAUUUAUAAAUUUAUAAUAUGAUUCUAUAAUAUGAGAGUGUGAAAGAUGAAAAAAAAACGGUGAAAGAGGGAAAAGUAUAUAUUAUGAUAAAGUGUAAUCAUAAAAUGUUUAAUAGACGUGAGGUCGUCAUGUGAUCAAUUUUAUGUAAAUCAUAAGACCGGUUUUUGUGUCAUAUGACUGGAAUAAGCGAAAAGAAUAAGAUAACAGUUCAUGAAAGUAUUGCAAAUGAGUUUGACGCAAAAUAACGUUUUCAAUGUUAUCGACAUUUUCAUAUGCACAAGACAUGAUUUUAUCCCUGACAAUUUAUCGCGAGAAUUGAUUGGAAAAUCUUUGUGUAUAAUUAUAAAUGCAUAAUAUUUAAAUUCAUUAUUAAAAAAUCAUCGAAACUAAUAAUUUACAUUUUUGUAAAUUACUAUUUCUUUUUUGUAUAGAAUUGUCAAGUGAAUUUUUGAUAUUACUGGUUUUUCAAAUAAAAAGUAUUGUGUGAUUUGAUAUUAAUCAUUUUUAAAGUGUUUUGAUAAAUUAAAUUAUCAUUUAUUAUUAUUAAUUACUAUUUCAUAUAUUGAUUUUAUUGAUUUGAUAUGCAGGGACGUAUCAAUUAUUGUUUUAAAGACAGGAUAAUAAAAUUCCUCAUAUAUAGUAAAAAGGAUAUUAGCCAGAAAAAUAUAAAUUAUUAUUAGCAGAAAAUUGUGAGAUAUAUUCUGUUUUAAAAAAAUUGAAAAAGAGAUUUCUAAUUUUAUUAAAUUUUCUACCUCAUCAUAAGUAAAAUGGAAUGGCUGACCUUUCUUUAAUCCUUAUAAAGUGAAAAAUGUCAAAGAACUCAUCUCAGGAAAUGACGAAAUCACGCAGAAUUCUUGAAGAGCAUCAUAAAUAGAGAAGAACGAAAAUAAAUAAAUAAAAAAAAAAAUACUUUGGCACUUGACUACAUUGCACUUACAUUUGUAAAGCCACAGUGAAAGAGAAAGAGAGAGAGAGAGGGAGGACGGAAAAAAAUCCCAAAUGAUAGAAACAAAGAAAAAAAGAAAAA